UAGAGUGUGUCAGAGGGGGGUGGAAUUCCACGUGUAGCAGUGAAAUGCGUAGAUAUGUGGAGGAACACCAAUGGCGAAGGCAGCCCCCUGGGAUAACACUGACGCUCAUGCACGAAAGCGUGGGGAGCAAACAGGAUUAGAUACCCUGGUANUCCACGCCCUAAACGAUGUCAACUAGUUGUUGGGUCAAUACUGACUUGGUAACGUAGCUAACGCGUGAAGUUGACCGCCUGGGGAGUACGGCCGCAAGGUUAAAACUCAAAGGAAUUGACGGGGACCCGCACAAGCGGUGGAUGAUGUGGAUUAAUUCGAUGCAACGCGAAAAACCUUACCUACCCUUGACAUGUACGGAAGUUGCCAGAGAUGGAUUCGUGCUCGAAAGAGAACCGUAACACAGGUGCUGCACGGCUGUCGUCAGCUCGUGUCGUGAGAUGUUGGGUUAAGUCCCGCAACGAGCGCAACCCUUGUCAUUAGUUGCUACGAAAGGGCACUCUAAUGAGACUGCCGGUGACAAACCGGAGGAAGGUGGGGAUGACGUCGAGUCCUCAUGGCCCUUAUAGGUGGGGCUACACACGUCAUACAAUGGCUGGUACAAAGGGUUGCCAACCCGCGAGGGGGAGCUAAUCCCAUAAAGCCAGUCGUAGUCCGGAUCGCAGUCUGCAACUCGACUGCGUGAAGUCGGAAUCGCUAGUAAUCGUGGAUCAGAAUGUCACGGUGAAUACGUUCCCGGGUCUUGUACACACCGCCCGUCACACCAUGGGAGCGGGUUCUGCCAGAAGUAGUUAGCCUAACCGCAAGGAGGGCGAUUUCCACGGCAGGGUUCGUGACUGGGGUGAAGUC
rnacentral:rRNA from 1 species